rnacentral:rRNA from 1 species
GAGGAAAGAUGGAGGCGUGCCUAAUACAUGCAAGUCGAGCGAACAGACGAGGAGCUUGCUCCUCUGACGUUAGCGGCGGACGGGUGAGUAACACGUGGAUAACCUACCUAUAAGACUGUGAUAACUUCGGGAAACCGGAGCUAAUACCGGAUAAUAUAUUGAACCGCAUGGUUCAAUAGUGAAAGACGGUUUUGCUGUCACUUAUAGAUGGAUCCGCGCCGCAUUAGCUAGUUGGUAAGGUAACGGCUUACCAAGGCGACGAUGCGUAGCCGACCUGAGAGGGUGAUCGGCCACACUGGAACUGAGACACGGUCCAGACUCCUACGGGAGGCAGCAGUAGGGAAUCUUCCGCAAUGGGCGAAAGCCUGACGGAGCAACGCCGCGUGAGUGAUGAAGGUCUUCGGAUCGUAAAACUCUGUUAUUAGGGAAGAACAAAUGUGUAAGUAACUAUGCACGUCUUGACGGUACCGAAUCAGAAAGCCACGGCUAACUACGUG